UCGUUACAGGUUCUCAGUGUGCUUCUGCCAAAACCCAAAUUUUCUAUGGUUGACCUCGGAUCAGGUAGGGAUACCCGCUGAACUUAAGCAUAUCAAUAAGCGGAGGAAAAGAAAACAACUGGGAUUGCCCCAGUAACGGC
rnacentral:rRNA from 1 species